CCGGGGGGAUUGGUCCGAGCCAGACGCCGGCGCGGCGUCGGCGGUGGCUGAAGAGCUGUGCUUCCGAGACUAGGUCUUUCCUUCCGAAGGGCGAGGGCCCGGCCGGGCCACGGUCUGGGGGUGGUCUCAACACAGCCAGCCCGGAGCUCGGGACCGCGGGCGCUGGCGCGGGGCCUCAGGUGCCUACAGGAGAGAAAAGCCCAGGCAGAACGGCAUUAGAGCAGACUCGAGUCAGACGGACCUGGGUUGGAAUCACGGCUCGUGAUGUCUUGCUGUGUGACUUCGGGCAGGUUUUGAGCCUUGGCUUCCUCUUACGUAACAUGGAGCUGGCAUUCACAUCACAGGGCGGCUGAGAGGAAUCAGUGAGAUCAUGGAAAGGCCCCGAAAGCACUCAGUAAAAAUGACACCCAGUCCAGAAGGCAGCUCCUACAGCAGUUCUUCCCACCCAGCCGGCCACACUUCCAUUUUGCUGUCAUGUGCUCUGUCUUGCCUCCACUGACACACGUCACCUGGAUGACAGCCUUCCAGGAGGUCUCUCUUCCGCCCCAACUCCCACCUCAGGAACUUCUAUCCUACCUGGUUUCUGGAUGACAUAUCCGCGCGCGGCCUGGAGGAGGAGACCUACGCAGAAAAGAGAAGGCUGAGGCCCAUCUCCUUAAAUAGUCCACCCUCAAUUCCUUUCUGGGCCCCUCGCAUUGUCCGUCCGCCACGGUUUAUGCGCUUCUGAGCCUAACCGCUGCUCCAUUUCUUCCCUACCCUUUCCUUGUCUCUCACACCUUGUUUCACCUCUUGCGCAACCACCGCCCUUUCCCCCUUAUCCUGACCGCUGUACAUCUCCCCUACUCCAGUGCUUCCUUAUUCCCUAUCGCCGCCGAACCCUGUUUCCCUACCCCCGCCGUCCCAUUUCUCAGCUCCUCACUUCGAGGCUGCAGGCCCCGCUGGUUGAAAGGAAACCUGGCGCUCCCACCGCCCGGCAGCCCGAACACUGGGGCCUGGGUCCGAAUCAAACUCAGCGCCCUCCACGCGACCCUGAGCAUGAUGACCUCUAACCCCCGCGGGGCCCGCGCUGCUGCCGCC